rnacentral:rRNA from 1 species
UACGAAGGGGGCUAGCGUUGCUCGGAAUUACUGGGCGUAAAGGGAGCGUAGGCGGAUAGUUUAGUCAGAGGUGAAAGCCCAGGGCUCAACCUUGGAAUUGCCUUUGAUACCGGCUAUCUUGAGUACGGAAGAGGUAUGUGGAACUCCGAGUGUAGAGGUGAAAUUCGUAGAUAUUCGGAAGAACACCAGUGGCGAAGGCGACAUACUGGUCCGUUACUGACGCUGAGGCUCGAAAGCGUGGGGAGCAAACAGG